rnacentral:rRNA from 1 species
UGGGGAAUUUUGGACAAUGGGGGCAACCCUGAUCCAGCAAUGCCGCGUGUGUGAAGAAGGCCUUCGGGUUGUAAAGCACUUUUGUCCGGAAAGAAAACGUCGUGGUUAAUACCCGUGGCGGCUGACGGUACCGGAAGAAUAAGCACCGGCUAACUACGUGCCAGCAGCCGCGGUAAUACGUAGGGUGCAAGCGUUAAUCGGAAUUACUGGGCGUAAAGCGUGCGCAGGCGGUCCGCUAAGACAGAUGUGAAAUCCCCGGGCUUAACCUGGGAACUGCAUUUGUGACUGGCGGGCUAGAGUAUGGCAGAGGGGGGUAGAAUUCCACGUGUAGCAGUGAAAUGCGUAGAGAUGUGGAGGAAUACCGAUGGCGAAGGCAGCCCCCUGGGCCAAUACUGACGCUCAUGCACGAAAGCGUGGGGGAGCAAACAGGAUUAGAUACCCUGGUAGUCCACGCCCUAAACGAUGUCAACUAGUUGUCGGGUCUUCAUUGACUUGGUAACGUAGCUAACGCGUGAAGUUGACCGCCUGGGGAGUACGGUCGCAAGAUUAAAAACUC